rnacentral:lncRNA from 1 species
UCAUUUCACGUCGAGGUGCAUAGGAUUGUGACAUAGGAUUACGGCUGUGACGUUUGUCGCCGUCGGAGAGGGAGCAGGUAGGGGACGGUAGGGGCAGCAGGGCUGCCCUGUGGGCAAUGGGAUGGAUUGUAAGUGGAGGGAUGGAUAGGUCAGUGGAGCAAGCAGCAGUUUCACCAGCAGAGGGAUAAUUGGUGACGUUACUGCUUGGGGGUUGGGAACCCGCAGCAGCAAUGAAAAAAUCGGCCGCCGUAUUU